UAGGCCAGUAUUUGAACUCGAGGAGGGACAGUCUGCUGGCACCACAUCUCCCCAGGAAGAUACUUUAGAGAGACCUACCAGUAUAUGUGAACUUGAUGAGGGACAGCCAGCUGCCACAUCUCCCCAACAAGAUACGUCAGAGAAGCCUGAAACCGAUCAACCAAUGAGUCCCAUUGAAGGUGAUGAUGAGCCUCUUUCUUCAGACCCAGCCAAGUGGCCAUCACCGAUUACCGACAGCAUACGCACAGAGCUAGUUCGAAGAGGACCUACUAAGGUGCCAACUACUUUUAUAUUUCCCAGGAAUGAAGGCGAUGGCAGAUGUUGUCAUCACUAUUUCAGUAGAACUUUGACAAGUGGUGAGAAGGUGGCCAGGAGCUGGAUGUUGUAUUCAGUUAGCAAACGUUGUUAUGUAUAAUACACUCCACGCAAUUUGAAACAAAG